CCUACGGGGUGCAGCAGUGGGGAAUAUUGCGCAAUGGGCGAAAGCCUGACGCAGCGACGCCGCGUGAGGGAUGAAGGUCUUCGGAUCGUAAACCUCUGUCAGCAGGGAAGAACGGUCACUGUGCUAAUCAGCAGUGAAUUGACGGUACCUGCAAAGGAAGCACCGGCUAACUCCGUGCCAGCAGCCGCGGUAAUACGGAGGGUGCGAGCGUUAAUCGGAAUUACUGGGCGUAAAGCGCUCGUAGGCGGUAUGUACAGUCAAGGGUGAAAUCCCCGCGCUCAACGUGGGAACUGCCUUUGAAACUGGCAAACUGGAGUGUGUGAGAGGAUAGUGGAAGUCCAGGGGUAGGAGUGAAAGCCGUAGAUAUCUGGAGGAACAUCAGUGGCGAAGGCGACUAUCUGGCACAUAACUGACGCUGAGGAGCGAAAGCGUGGGUAGCAAACAGGAUUAGAUACCCCAGUAGUC
rnacentral:rRNA from 1 species